AGUAUUAUGUCUGAUUAAAGUAAUAAAUUGUAAAUUUAUAAAUGGACUAAAGUCCUAAUACUA
rnacentral:tRNA from 1 species